rnacentral:sRNA from 1 species
CGUAAUUAAGCAAGGCAAGUGUUUGAAUCUUGUUUCGAUAUAACCUCCACAGGCUCCAUAGUUAUCCUUUUUAGCUCCUGCUCAAUCUUCUCCAUACACCAGAAAGGUCCGGCAAUUAUUGGCUUUCCCCAUCCGAAAUCUACCUCUCCCACACCGGUGCGCGUGUUAUCCGAAAGUAUGAAGUUAUUCCCUGCCAAUCUGCACCGCGUAUUCCAGUGGACUGUUACACAAGAGUUCGGCUGUUGAAAUCACACUCGGGAAUCCAAUUGCAUUGCCAUAGAAUCCCAAAGGAACAUUGAGAUUGUUGCGCUUUCCACGUGCAUUGACGACUAGCGAAACUCGAACAGCCUCGUUCGGAUUCAUUGCAAGUGCAAUUGUUCGGCAUUUCCAUAAGCACCCUGUUAUCAACUCAAAUGUGGAGCAAGUGUUGCUAAGGUUUGGUGGAAGAUGUUUCCUAGCAGACCUUAUCCCCUUAGGACUGAAAUAGAAACACCGCUGGAUGAGGUCUGGCUGAUCCACGGACGCAAUGACGGAGCCUGCCUGAGAUUCAUUCUCGUCCCCGUACUCGUGAUGCAUAUACGUAACCUGUGGCGGCUCUCGGGCAUUCAAGAGUUCUCGUUCCCAAAUAGGUGGGAUUGAUGGUGCAUGUGCACCUCGUGCAAUCUCCCCAACUGCGUUCAAGAACUGAGCAAGCCCAAGUGCAUCAAACAUCGUGUGGUUCAAGCGCAUUGCAAAUAUGAAACCUCCACAUUUCAGACGGGUCACCUAAAUUGAUUACAGACAAUUUUUUAUCAAUUACACAGAAAAAUUAUGGCGUGGAACUGAA